CCUAAGACGUCACGGAGAAGGCCUGUGUCACUCAUUUACGUACACUCGUCAUGUCAUGCGCCGAGCCACUCCCUGACGCGCAUAUAUCAGCUUUAUCAUACAUACGUGUUCUGUUCCGGAAAUAUAGUGUUUCAGAACUGAUGAAAGACUCAGAGUGGAAACUGCCAGAGUAACGGAGGAGUGUUUCACCGGCGCUGUUCUCUCUCUUAGCACUUAUUCUACCGUCGCCUGAGACUGGACUGUGCCACCAUAGCAGAGAGUAACUAGCAGCAGUCCGUGACACACAGCUUCUCAUCACCUUGGGUUCUUUCUCUGGAUGAAGACAAAGAUAAGUCUGUCUUGGAAAUUCCCGAGACCCAAGGAGUUUCAAUUGAGACACAAUUAGACAGGCCAGGGUAGUUGUCUUGAAGUUCCUGAGAGCCAAGGAUCUUUAGUCAAGACAGAUAGACAACUAGAGUAGUUGUCUUGAAGUU
rnacentral:lncRNA from 1 species